rnacentral:rRNA from 1 species
AGUGAGGAAUAUUGCGCAAUGGAGGCAACUCUGACGCAGCCAUGCCGCGUGAAGGAUUGAAGGUCCUAUGGAUUGUAAACUUCUUUUGUAUGGGAAUAAACGCUACUACGUGUAGUAGCCUGAAGGUACCAUAAGAAUAAGCACCGGCUAACUCCGUGCCAGCAGCCGCGGUAAUACGGAGGGUGCAAGCGUUAUCCGGAUUUAUUGGGUUUAAAGGGUCCGUAGGUGGACCGUUAAGUCAGUGGUGAAAGCCCACAGCUCAACUGUGGAAAUGCCAUUGAUACUGGCGGUCUUGAGUACAAGUGAGGUUGGCGGAAUGUGUGGUGUAGCGGUGAAAUGCUUAGAUAUCACACAGAACACCGAUUGCGAAGGCAGCUGGCCAACUUGUAACUGACACUGAGGGACGAAAGUGUGGGGAUCAAA